rnacentral:rRNA from 1 species
ACGGGUGCGGAACACGUACGCAACCUUCCUUCAAGUGGGGGAUAGCCCGGGGAAACCCGGAUUAAUACCCCGUAAUACUGUGAGAUGGCAUCAUCUUACACUUAUAGCUCCGGCGCUUGAAGAUGGGCGUGCGCCUGAUUAGGUAGUUGGCGGGGUAACGGCCCACCAAGCCUUCGAUCAGUAACUGGUGUGAGAGCACGACCAGUCACACGGGCACUGAGACACGGGCCCGACUCCUACGGGAGGCAGCAGUAAGGAAUAUUGGUCAAUGGACGCAAGUCUGAACCAGCCAUGCCGCGUGGAGGAUGAAGGUCCUCUGGAUUGUAAACUUCUUUUAUCUGGGAAGAAACCCACGGUUUCUACUGUGGUUGACGGUACCAGAUGAAUAAGCACCGGCUAACUCCGUGCCAGCAGCCGCGGUAAUACGGAGGGUGCAAGCGUUAUCCGGAUUCACUGGGUUUAAAGGGUGCGUAGGUGGGUUGGUAAGCCAGUGGUGAAAUCUCCGAGCUUAACUUGGAAACUGCCGUUGAUACUAUCAAUCUUGAAUAUCGCGUAGGUAAGCGGAAUAUGUCAUGUAGCGGU